AGUGAACGCUGGCGGUAGGCCUAACACAUGCAAGUCGAACGGCAGCACAGUAAGAGCUUGCUCUUACGGGUGGCGAGUGGCGGACGGGUGAGGAAUACAUCGGAAUCUACUUUUUCGUGGGGGAUAACGUAGGGAAACUUACGCUAAUACCGCAUACGACCUACGGGUGAAAGCAGGGGAUCUUCGGACCUUGCGCGAUUGAAUGAGCCGAUGUCGGAUUAGCUAGUUGGCGGGGUAAAGGCCCACCAAGGCGACGAUCCGUAGCUGGUCUGAGAGGAUGAUCAGCCACACUGGAACUGAGACACGAUCCAGACUCCUACGGGAGGCAGCAGUGGGGAAUAUUGGACAAUGGGCGCAAGCCUGAUCCAGCCAUACCGCGUGGGUGAAGAAGGCCUUCGGGUUGUAAAGCCCUUUUGUUGGGAAAGAAAAGCAGCAGGUUAAUACCCCGCUGUUCGGACGGUACCCAAAGAAUAAGCACCGGCUAACUUCGU
rnacentral:rRNA from 1 species